GAUGAACGCUGGCGGCGUGCCUAAUACAUGCAAGUCGAGCGAACAGAUGAGGAGCUUGCUCCUCUGACGUUAGCGGCGGACGGGUGAGUAACACGUGGAUAACCUACCUAUAAGACUGGGAUAACUUCGGGAAACCGGAGCUAAUACCGGAUAAUAUAUUGAACCGCAUGGUUCAAUAGUGAAAGACGGUUUUGCUGUCACUUAUAGAUGUAUCCGCGCCGCAUUAGCUAGUUGGUAAGGUAACGGCUUACCAAGUCAACGAUGCGUAGACGACCUGAGAGGGUGAUCGGCCACCCUGGAACUGAGACACGGUCCAGACUCCUACGGGAGGCAGCAGUAGGGAAUCUUCCGCAAUGGGCGAAAGCCUGACGGAGCAACGCCGCGUGAGUGAUGAAGGUCUUCGGAUCGUAAAACUCUGUUAUUAGGGAAGAACAAAUGUGUAAGUAACUAUGCACGUCUUGACGGUACCUAAUCAGAAAGCCACGGCUAACUACGUG
rnacentral:rRNA from 1 species